rnacentral:rRNA from 1 species
UACGUAGGUGGCAAGCGUUGUCCGGAUUUACUGGGCGUAAAGGGUGUGUAGGCGGAAUUUUAAGUAGAAAGUGAAAGGUUGGAGCUCAACUCCAACACUGCUUCCUAUACUGGAAUUCUUGAGUCCCGGAGAGGAAGAUGGAACGACACGUGUAGCGGUGAAAUGCGUUGAUAUGUGUCGGAACACCAAUGGCGAAGGCAAUCUUCUGGACGGGUACUGACGCUGAGACACGAAAGCCAAGGGAGCGAACAGG